AAAAGUGGUGGGAAAAGAACAAGCUAUUGGUCUAUAGAAAAUAUGAUGUUGAAGAAUAUACGAAUGUGAACCAAGAUAUAUGAUCAAUUAGAAGUUCCCCUUUCUUCUAAAUGUAUAUAUUAUUAUUAUAUACUUCCUCUGUUUAUAAAGAAUGGUCUACUUUUCAUUUUAGUUUGUUUAAAAAAGAAUGACUUUUUUUUUUUAACAUUUUAAUUUCAGUUUUCCAC
rnacentral:lncRNA from 1 species